CAGCAACGGGCAGUGGUUACAGGACCCGGGUGGUGACGUGUCGAAAGAAGGACAUACACCCUCAAUUCUACGAGGAUGCAAAGGUGUACUGUAACGGUGAGCUCGUAAUGACGACGGGUGGGACCCAGAAGGAGUACGUGGUGGAUGUCUGGUCGGGAAACCAUGCGUUUUACCUCGGCGGCCGCUCUGCUGUUGUCGUCGACGCCGACCAAGUCGAGAAGUUCCGUCAGAAGUUCGGAGGAUUGUCUGAGAUUAUGGAAAUUCCCGUGCUUAAAGGAGAGAUUGUGUUGCC
rnacentral:lncRNA from 1 species